rnacentral:rRNA from 1 species
GAUGAACGCUAUCUACAGGCUUAACACAUGCAAGUCGAGGGGCAGCAUGGUCUUAGCUUGCUAAGGCCGAUGGCGACCGGCGCACGGGUGAGUAACACGUAUCCAACCUGCCGUCUACUCUUGGACAGCCUUCUGAAAGGAAGAUUAAUACAAGAUGGCAUCAUGAGUCCACAUGUUCACAUGAUUAAAGGUAUUCCGGUAGACGAUGGGGAUGCGUUCCAUUAGAUAGUAGGCGGGGUAACGGCCCACCUAGUCUUCGAUGGAUAGGGGUUCUGAGAGGAAGGUCCCCCACAUUGGAACUGAGACACGGUCCAAACUCCUACGGGAGGCAGCAGUGAGGAAUAUUGGUCAAUGGGCGAGAGCCUGAACCAGCCAAGUAGCGUGAAGGAUGACUGCCCUAUGGGUUGUAAACUUCUUUUAUAAAGGAAUAAAGUCGGGUAUGCAUACCCGUUUGCAUGUACUUUAUGAAUAAGGAUCGGCUAACUCCGUGCCAGCAGCCGCGGUAAUACGGAGGAUCCGAGCGUUAUCCGGAUUUAUUGGGUUUAAAGGGAGCGUAGAUGGAUGUUUAAGUCAGUUGUGAAAGUUUGCGGCUCAACCGUAAAAUUGCAGUUGAUACUGGAUAUCUUGAGUGCAGUUGAGGCAGGCGGAAUUCGUGGUGUAGCGGUGAAAUGCUUAGAUAUCACGAAGAACUCCGAUUGCGAAGGCAGCCUGCUAAGCUGCAACUGACAUUGAGGCUCGAAAGUGUGGGUAUCAAACAGGAUUAGAUACCCUGGUAGUCCACACGGUAAACGAUGAAUACUCGCUGUUUGCGAUAUACUGCAAGCGGCCAAGCGAAAGCGUUAAGUAUUCCACCUGGGGAGUACGCCGGCAACGGUGAAACUCAAAGGAAUUGACGGGGGCCCGCACAAGCGGAGGAACAUGUGGUUUAAUUCGAUGAUACGCGAGGAACCUUACCCGGGCUUAAAUUGCAGAUGAAUUACGGUGAAAGCCGUAAGCCGCAAGGCAUCUGUGAAGGUGCUGCAUGGUUGUCGUCAGCUCGUGCCGUGAGGUGUCGGCUUAAGUGCCAUAACGAGCGCAACCCUUGUUGUCAGUUACUAACAGGUUCUGCUGAGGACUCUGACAAGACUGCCAUCGUAAGAUGUGAGGAAGGUGGGGAUGACGUCAAAUCAGCACGGCCCUUACGUCCGGGGCUACACACGUGUUACAAUGGGGGGUACAGAGGGCCGCUACCACGCGAGUGGAUGCCAAUCCCAAAAACCUCUCUCAGUUCGGACUGGAGUCUGCAACCCGACUCCACGAAGCUGGAUUCGCUAGUAAUCGCGCAUCAGCCACGGCGCGGUGAAUACGUUCCCGGGCCUUGUACACACCGCCCGUCAAGCCAUGGGAGCCGGGGGUACCUGAAGUGCGUAACCGCGAGGAGCGCCCUAGGGUAAAACUGGUGACUGGGGCUAAAUG